ACCUCGUGGUUGAAAUUCAACUCUGUGGAGAAACUCCAACAUGGUGGCUUGUUCUUCCAGCCUAAGCGACUGAUGUCUCAACUCUUAAUUGACAACACAAACCAGCGAGAUUGAUGUGACCGACUGCUGAAUGUGCCAGCAGAUACACAGCACUAGAUUACUAACAGAAGCACUCAAAUAAACAAAUGUCUUUCACAUUUCAACUCUUAGUGACAACACAGCGAGACUGACUACUGCAUGCGUAUGUGGAGGUGCAAUACAAGCUCUAUAUCAUUAUAUGGACUGAACAGUGCAGUGUUGGAAGCAAGCACACGUUAGACAAGUCUUAACUCUGCAAGAGUGUACUGGAGCUAGGUUGUUUCCCAAGGGGUAGUCACUCCAAUGCCAUUGAAAUUUGUAAACAAGAGUCUCUACAGUAUGAUGGGAGUUCAAUGAAGUUUUGGAUAACACCUGCAUGUCCUGUUGUUAUUGUCUGUUGGUUACCACCUGGGCACUCCCCUGGACUCUGAGACAACCCUCAGUUGUGAGAAGUAGACUGAUGAAAUAAUAAUGGUCUGUUGCUUGCAAGUUCGUUUCCCGUUUCUAUGCUAUCAAGAUCGUGACAGAAAUGAAAGUAGUGUGACUGUCUCUCUUCCUUCGACUGAGCUCUGUACGUAUCAGGUGAAAUAAAUACAGAUAUUACACUUUGCCCAUUCACUGUCCAAUAGUGCAUGCAAAGUAAUGUCCCACUGCAAGGUAUCUAAGUUUGUUCAUCAUUGUUAGAAUAUUCCAUAGAGAAGAAACGCUCUCGAUGUUUCAAUGCUUAUACAUAAUUAUAUGAUUGAUUUUGAUGGGGUACACACUCAGAACAAGUGUUAUGGGCAAAGUGUAUGACUGUCAGGGUGCUCUAUCUGUUUUAUUGUUUGGGAGAAGGUAAAUUGAAUAUAAAGGAAGUUUGGAGAGGGUCCCCCUAUAGGGAACAUUUUUCAUAUGGAUUCUCAGAAUGAAAGCCUGAUGCCAUUUAUAUAGCUUUUGAAAUUAAGAAUUUGCAGAUAGUAAAGUAUCCUCUGUAUAAUGCCUAUAGGGGGUUCGAGAGCUGGAAUCCCCCUCCUGCAUGUUAGUAUAUAAUCUUUCCAUCAAAAUGGAAAACGUUGAAGACCAGAGCUAUAGUUGAAGAUGAUCGGUUUUUGAAAGAUUUCCACACGUGGUGGUAGCCUACAUUAAUAAGAGUUGCACCUUGCCAACCUCUGAGCCCUCCUAUACUUGUCUAAAAUUGCUACGCCUUGCACUAUUGCAUGUCUUAAAUCAGAUAGGAUACUGAGUGACAUUGGUGUGUUAACGUAACCCCAUGUUGUAAGGACAACAAUGGAGGAAAUGCUAGAUCCAAUAAAGCCAAUGCUAUUGUGUGGUUAAUUAGCAAUUGUCCAGUUCAUUCUUAUGGCAACAGUAGGAGGACAAGUGCUGUGGUCGACUUCCCUCAUGACCCCUUUAAACAAUCCAACAAACUAAAACUUACCGGGGGAGUUCGUAGUAGCUGCUUGGAAGUUUUCUGAACGGGGGUGGUUGUUCUAAAAGUAUUUUCAUGGUAUAAAGGCAAAUAAAUAAAUAAUUCAGACAUUCGUGAUACUACAACUAUAUCCCUUUAGACUUCAAAAUCACGUAGAAACUUCCUAAACAGUGCCUACCAUAAUUAUAGCAGGUAAAUUUGGGGAGCCUAAUAUUUCGCAAAGAGGCAAUUCUUAUCUAUAUUAUUGGUGAUUUUUAAUUUGAUAAUUGUGCUGUGUGGUAUUAUUGACCUCAUGCGAUACUGUGGCUCAACCUGGCUAAAAAUCAAGCAAAAAAAAACAUUGGUGCUAUUUUUAAUUUUGGCGCCCCUCACCUUUUGAAUUGGCAUAUUGCCAUGGUUACUAUAAAUUCUCACCCUGACGUUUAAUCUUGACUUCUGCUCAUCUCUGACUGAUUGCAGCUGAAAUUCAUUUGUCGCCAAAUGCAAAAAUUUCUGGUUGAUUAUAUACAUUUGAAACUGGAACACUUUUGUGCUUGUCGUAUAAUAAAGCUGUGUUCUCAUUUUUACUGCAUUUACUAGUUUUUGGAGUUAUUAUUAUUGAAUUCUUUAAGCCCCCAGCCCACAAAUCAUGGCCGUUAUUCUGAAUUAAAGUAUACUUACAGAAAUGACACAAUGUAUUAGUUCAGUAAACAUAAGUUACAAAGUGAUUUUGAUUCUUGCUAUUCUUCGCAACCUUUCUGCUGUGUGUCAUGAGACUAGAUUCAGACAUGCAUCUUAAUUAUGUACGGCUAGUAGAAGGCAGGAUCUGUACAUUGUAAUGUGUUAGUGUAGAUAUUGGCAAACACUGAAGCGCAGUUGAGAACUCAAACUCAUGGAUUUUUAUCGAGGUUACAUAACUUAUGAUGUACAUGUAAGUCAAGUGUUCAGUGGGUAUGCCUAUGAUUGGAAGCAGAUUAGUUUUUAGACGAUGCCUUUACACUCUUGAGUACCCAGUCUAUCCCAUCAUGCAUGUUGAGAUCAAAGUUAUUCAUGGCACAUUGUAUAUGUAUGUAUACUGCUCUCAAAUGCAUGCUGUAAGUACUGCAGUUGGUCUAAGUCUGGUAUUAUACUUAAAUUAGCAACUACUCACUUUUUACCAUCUACCCUUUACAGUGAGUAAACAUCAAAGCAUGUACAAUUACCUAGUACGUAUAAUAAUUCCAAUAGGCACAGCUCUAUGGUACCCAAAACCAGACUCAAUGGUACAAUAUUCUAAUAUUCUCGCUGAUAGCUAGGGCUAAGUGUCCUACUCACCGCAAUCCCUUCUUCAGUUUUGGCCGAGCAUGGUUGUAUCUGCCAUCGUCUGUCAGUCAGCUCAGCUAUAGCUUCAUAUCGUUGCUGAUCUGUGGGGAAUGAAAUGAUGAUCACACAAUUCUUGUAGGUACAUCAGUCAUGUAACUAAGGUCUACUCUCAGCUAGAAUAAACGGAAUAGUACACUUACAUCAUCAGCUUUUAAAGCCAUCCCUAGGUAUUGUUUAUUUGCAAACACUAGUAGGGGUACUCCAGUGAAUUUAUCCUCCACCAGAAGCUCAUCCAACUGUACUCGUGAUUCUUCUAGUCUACCAGAAUCAGUGCUAUCCACAAGUAGAUCUGAGGUGUCAAUGAUGUGGGCUUAGCAGGUUUUACCAUAAUAAUUAUAAUUAUAUAGACUAAAAUUAUAGCCGUACAUUUGUAUAUUAUUUUGUACAUACAUGCAUAGAUAAUAGAGACAGGGAUUGGAAACGUUCACGUGACCCAGUAUACAACCCACGUAGUGACAUCUUGCAGCUGUGUCGUAUGCGUGUCUCGCGGUUACAAGUGUUAAUUGUUUGUUUACUAUUCUACUCUUUUGACAAUUGGAUGGCUAUGAAUCUGCUUUAGACCACAAAACUGUGUAGCCACCCCCGCAAUCAUCUUAUGUGUGCUAUACCAGUGUUAAAUCUCUGUUUUCUGCAGGAAAACCUCUAUGAAGAAAGGUUAGUAGAGAGUCAAAGUGUUACAAUAUACUUGUGGAGUUUUUAGAACUUUAUUAAAGUUUUCUGUACAUUUUUAGAAACAAGAGUAGGUUCAUUUGACAGCACUGUGUUGCACUGUCUUGUUGAUUAGUCCAAAUACAUGUUUAAGGACCAGUUGUAACAGUAAAUCAGUGCAGAAUCAUUGGUUGCUGUGUGGAGUUUUCCUGACCUUGCAAAUGAUUAAGAACAAGUGUUAAGGAGUCUCAUUUGCUAAGAAGUGGUUGUAGAAAUGCAUGGUUAAUAAAGAUUAACAUAUAAAUACUCUGAGAGAUCACAACAUUAAAAUGUCCUGCAUGUACAUGUACGUAUGUAUGUGUAGGUAAUACUGAUGGAACAUAGACAGUUUACGUUUGGUAAAUUAAAUGUAAUAAUGCUGAAAGGCACCGACUAGGGUCUUGAAGGCUCAAAACCAGCCCAACAGUGCACACAUACACAAUGAUCACAAUGAUUCCGUAUCAGAAAAGGUAAACUUAAUGGUAACAAUUUCGUUAUUGCUAUUGUUCACAGGUUCCAUCUCUUGCUGACAUCCAGUCUAGAUAUUUAUUAGUGCCGUCAUACAUCGAACAAAGUAGUAAUGGUGUUCUUCUCAUUUAUUUCAAUCUUGGCCAACUCCUGAGCUGCACCUUGAAACAUCGAUCACAGUUUGAGAUUUAAGUCUCCCUGGCCCUGAGCAAGCACUGCCACAAUUUUUUUCCACAGAUAUUGGUAAUCAAGCUCACUUGCUGCAGUACUACCAGUGACUGUUUCUGCCUAGCCUGUGCCUGGAGACUAGCUUGCUGCUUGCAUGCCAUAGGAAUAUUAAACUAUUGCCACCUGUCAUGUAACUCUAUUAAAUCCCCACCAUUAAUUGGUCACGUGAUGGAGACACGCAUAUGAACCAAGAAUGCUAUGAAUAUCAUUACGUUUCCAAUCCCUUUCUGUGCUCUAUUAUCUAUGAUACAUGUAGUACAAUCCUGGAUAUAGACGUGACAGUUUAUCUUUAUAUCUUAUAUACUUACGCUGACACUUCCUGUUGCCUGCAUAAAUAUAGUUUGCUGUUUGGUUGGCGGCGCUUUGAGCACUGGAGCACCGCAACAACCAUCUUUUUGGUGAAGAUCUCACAAAACGAAUAUACCACGUAAAUGAAUGUUUGCAUUAUUUAGACACGUAUAAUCGAAUGUCGCUAAUAGUCGCACUCUCCAGCUCGUUUACUCAUAUUCAAUGUCUGCACGUAACGAUAAUAGACGUGUACUACUAAACCAAUCACCAUGCCUAUAGGCUGACACAAGAACCGCCUUCUUGAGUUCCGCUGCCCACUGCUUUCAGCCCUUCUUGAAGGCCACUUCCCACUGCCACGAUUUCUUUUACAGUCCUCAUUUUAUAUCUUACACAGCCAAAAAUCCACGGGUCCGUUUCAGGCCGUUAGUUGAAAACGGGCCGUUACGGGCCCGUGAACGGCCUGUAUACAGGAUGUAGCCCACCCACGUCCUGUAUACAGGCCGUUCUCACGGGCUGUAAACAGGACGUUAGCCCACGUCCUGUUUACAGCCCGUGGAUACAGGCCUGUAUCAGGGCGUAGCACCCACGUCCUGUAGCUUAUGCGCAUGCGCUAGCUUGGGGCAGGAUGACGUCACCUGACUACAAAAAGAGAAUGAGACAGACAGAGCUCUAAGAAAAAUCCUGCUGCUUGUCACAAGAGGAGCUGCUGGUCCAAAAAGACAACUUGAAGAGGACUAUACAGUCCAUUACUAUUAGUCUACCUGUGAACAGAAAAAGGUGAAGCUGUAGCAGCAUGUUAUUAUAACAGUUAUAUUAUUUUUAUUGAACUUUCUCAUAGCAGUUUGUGUUCCUCUAGUUCCACAGCUAUUUCAAAUCUGUAGUGAAUUUGACCUCUAGUGUAGUUGGCAGCAAAGGUCUGUAAAUUUCACCUCUACUGUAUGUUUAUAAAUUCAGGUUUGCACGUUGUUAUGGACUUGAAGCUGGAACACCGGCCAAUUUUACAAGGCUCCCAUCUGAAGUUUUUUCACUUUUGAUAAAGAGGUGUUGAAGAAUGCUCCCAGAUAAUGCUGCCGAGUUGAAGUCUGGACUAAUUACACACUAGAUGUUGUCAGAAGAAUGAACUAAAAAUAAAGCAACAGUUUCCUGUUGCGAGAUAUCUUCGAGAUGAAAAAGAGCCCUUGUAAUGUGUACAGCACACUGUAAGCUGUUGACUGACUUCAUAGUACGCCGGUAAGAUUAUUCACAGUGGUGUGUUCUUCUUUUAAUCUCCUAACUCUUAUUCAGAUGUUGCAAAACUCAAGGUUUGUUUAUUGUUUUCAUCUUUAGCACUCGUUACACAUGUUAUUUAAUAGAUUUCUUUAUUGGCAUGCCGAGUUGGAGUCUGGAUGUGUUAGAUUGAAGUUUUUAGACAAAUGAUAAAGAGAAUGCAACAAUUGCCUGCUGGCGAGCUAUCUCGGAGAUGAAGAACGGCCCUUCAAGCUGACUUCAUAGUACGCCGAGUCUAUCUUUGUGUAUCUGCACAAAAACAAGACGAAUAUAAAUACAUGCCACCGUGGGAUGUGAAGACACGGACAUGAUAAUGAGAGACAUAAUUAUAUAAUGUAGCUGAACAGAAAUUAAUAUAUCUUGUUCUUGUCUUCUUUGUCUUUGAAUUGUGACCUUUUGAA